rnacentral:rRNA from 1 species
UAGGGAAUAUUGCGCAAUGGGGGAAACCCUGACGCAGCGACGCCGCGUGAGUGAUGAAGGACUUCGGUUCGUAAAGCUCUGUCGCAGGGGAAUAAUAAAUUGAAGGUACCCUGUAAGAAAGGAUCGGCUAACUUCGUGCCAGCAGCCGCGGUAAGACGAGGGAUCCUAGCGUUGUUCGGAAUCAUUGGGCGUAAAGCGGGUGUAGGCGGCAUUAUAAGUCAGAUGUGAAAGCCCUGGGCUUAACCCAGGAAGUGCAUUUGAUACUGUAGUGCUUGAGUGUGGGAGAGGCUAGUGGAAUUCCUGGUGUAGUGGUGAAAUACGUAGAUAUCAGGAGGAACAUCGGAGGCGAAGGCGGCUAGCUGGCCCAACACUGACGCUCAGACCCGAAAGCGUGGGGAUCAAACAGG